CCAGGUCGUAUCAGGAACAAGGCUGGAGAGGACGAUAGCGCAGCCGAUGUCGUCCUGUCCCUUAACAUAAUUUCUGCCAAGAACAUCAAGUCAUCCCACAACAACAACAGGGCACCGACGCAAGGGGAGCUGUGGUGGCAUUGCAUGACAGGUGCAGAAUGCAAGCUGGGCUGGGAUGUGAUGGGCCCAGUGGAAGGACAAGAGGAUGGGAGGCUCUUCCUCGUCUGCCGAAGACGAGGCUGGCGUGGACUCCGCUCUAAAGAAGGAAUUCCUGGCCUGCGGGUGGACCCA